ACACGACUACAUUAGAUACCCGGGUAGUCCCAGCCGUAAACUAUGCUCGCUAGGUGUCAGGGACGGUGCGACCGUUUCUGGUGCCGCAGGGAAGCCGUGAAGCGAGCCACCUGGGAAGUACGGUCGCAAGGCUGAAACUUAAAGGAAUUGGCGGGGGAGCACCGCAACGGGAGGAGCGUGCGGUUCAAUUGGAUUCAACGCCGGACAACUCACCAGGAGCGACGGUUACAUGAAGGCCAGGCUGAUGACCUUGCCUGAUUUUCCG
rnacentral:rRNA from 1 species